GGAAAACGUGUUGCGCAUCUCUAGUUUGAUAUGAGCUUUAGUAUCUCCCCACUACAGUGCGAGAAAAGUCAGGGCAAAGGAUUGAAAAGAAGUUCACAACAAAAAAGUUUGAACACAAGCAAACCUGAAACAGAUGCAGGGUAGUAGAUCUUAAGGGUGCGUUGCUCACUCCAGGGCCUGCUGCCACCCAGAUGGCUGGCAAACACCAGGACUCCGAACACAACAGGAUUCAGGGAUUCAGACAGGAGUCUUGCUCUACCAAUUAUUAUAGGAUCUUAGAUGCCUUUCCAGUAAAGCUAACAAAAAACAAAACAAAAUAAAACCAUAUCCAAAAUACUAAACAGCUGUCUCCAAGAUCAGAAGGCAUCAGAAAAGACCCUCAAGAGUUGUCUAAUCCCAGAGGAAGAUCUUAAGUGGGGAUGUGCUCACAGCAGAAACCUUGGAAAUUUCAGGGAGUGAAAUUUUAUUGUCAGAACUUUCAAUAAAAGUGUAGCCACAGAUCCUGGGAGCAUUAAAUAAAAAUUACCAACAAGCUGUCUUACCUGUGUGCACUCCACUGAAAGGAAGGGCAAACAUGAGCAAGGAGCUCUUGUACAUCAGUCAAAAUUCUGACAGCUACCCUGUGAAGUUUGACGGGCUGCCAUGUGCUAGACUACCUAAGAUACUCUUAACUGAACCAUAAAAAGACAAAUAAAUUAGUAAUUGUAUCCCUCCUGUCAAUGUCCUUUUUCGUGAACUUCUCAAGGUGUUGGUUAACAUUGUCUGGAAUGAUUUAUCAAUAUAUUCUUAGCUUUCUUAGGAAACACAGAUAGACUUGAUUUUUUCCAAAUUGUUUUUUGAAUUGAUUUAAGAAAAUGAUACAGAUAUUGCCAAUUGCUGGGCCUCUCUUUUUCA
rnacentral:lncRNA from 10 species